rnacentral:lncRNA from 1 species
GUUAUUUGACUGGAGUGAGGUCUCAUGUCUGCUUAUGCGGUGGCUCGCUGCUCAGAACAGGAUGGCAGAGAUGAGCACCACCAUCAAAAACUCAAGGACCAGUGCUGUGGGUCCAGUCAUCUGUUUCAUGGAAUUCACCAGUCUGGUAUCUUCAAAAUCCAGAAGGAUGAUGGCAGAUGGCAGGAAGGAGGAAGAGGGUAAUCUGGAAGAGUUUCCUGACCUACUCUGCUGCUGUGAUUAAACAACCACCAGGAAAUUUUGAUGACACUGUUCUCCUGAGCUCCUCCCUUUCCUCGGGGAAGAAAAGCAUUGAAACUACAAAAAUAAAGUGUUAUUUGGCUGGAGUGAGGUCUCAUGUCUGCUUAUGCGGUGGCUCGCUGCUCAGAACAGGGAACCAUUGGAGAUACUCAUUACUCUUUGAAGGCUUACAGUGGAAUGAAUUCAAAUACGACUUAUUUGAGGAAUUGAAGUUGACUUUAUGGAGCUGAUAAGAAUCUUCUUGGAGAAAAAAAGACUGGAUCUUUCAUUGUAGUACUUCUGAAUUAACCAAAAUCACAGUAUUCUGAAGAUGAUUCUACAAAGCCUGCUGUUUCUACAAAGGCUGCUGAUGAUUUCUACAAAGCCUGCUGUAGUGUUGCUGUGGCCUCUGCUUAAAAAAGUAGAAAACACAUUGAUGCAGCAUGUUCACCCCAACCUCCCUGCCUAAAGGCUCAGGGACCAUCUUGGAAGAGGAAGGCGCGUGAGAUUGUAAGAGCCGAAUUAGGGGGAUGGAGUGUGGAGAAUAAGGACACUUCAUCUUGGAUGCUCACCUGCCAAAUUGACUUCUGAUGAAAGCCAGCUCCAGAAAUGUGCCUACAGUUACUACUUUCACCUAAACCCUGCCCUUAGUCAAAUCCUUCUCUUCUUCUAAGCAAUCAACUUCAAUUCCUUGUAUAACCCACAGUAUAAAAGGGCUUUUAUACCAUUCUAUCCUAUUGCAUGUAAGCCUUGGGUCUGGGAGGUAACAGUGUGGGAUUCCACCAUCUCAUCUCCCUGCCACCCAAACAUGCCUGCUCUUCUUUAAGCAAUAUUAAAUGUUUGUACUUCAGAAA